GGUAGUUGAAAAUCACCUGCGGUUUUGUUCGUGACCGUGGGUGAGAUUCGGUGCCCAGAGUCUCCGUGGGCCUCAGCUCACCGCCCAUUGUGUGUGGGGAGGUGAAACCCAGGCCCCGACAUGU